AAAAAUAUUUAUCUGUAAUUAGUGCCUCUAUUAAUCCGUACAGCAAUGGUCACAACUUUUCGCUGCAGUCAUUUGUUACCUAACUGGCACCAUGUAAAGACAAAGUUAGUUAUGUAACGUUUAAUCGUGUUCAAAUGUUUAUCGUUUUCAAUUGUGGCGUGGUCGACUACGCUUGUGAAAAAUGGCCGUUGUUUAACAUUGAAGCCGGUGGUACAGAUUUCAGUAUUUCAACGCUUCAUGGCAUCGAUUUAGAACUUGGACAAACGAAUGAAAUUUUUUUCUACAGUUGGUGUGCCGAUGGCAGCCAUUGUUGUCAUUGACUUGCUUAGAAGGCAAGGGUAGUCUCUGAAUUUGGCUGACAGAAUUUAAUUGAACGCAACACAUGCCAGGACAUAGAAACAACUCGAAAACGAAUGCCUCCACGUGGAUUGAAUGGAUUCUUUUGGUGGUAAACGGAGAAAAAAUGAAAAUAAAAAAUAGGCACGUGCCGUUGAUUUCGUUCGUCCAGGUCGGCGUGCUCAUCUCCUCCACGGGCAGUAAGUAUCAAAUAUAAAUAAUAGAGGCUAUUAUAACUGGAGAGAAAGAUCAUGCAGUCCAAAAUUUUUUUGAUUUUAUUUUUUUUCUCUUUUUCAUCACAUCAAUUUCAUAUGCAUCUUUUCAAUGGCUUGAAAAGAGUUGGACUUCCAAGGGAGUCUUGUUAAGUGUAAUCUAGCCUCCCAAUUCACCAUUGACAUUGUGAUGGACUUGUGGAGAGCUUUGAUCUCUCUCUCUCCCUCUUUCACGGCCGUUUAAUGGCCUAUAAUUAUCUUUUUCAUGUACGUAGAUACCAUUUUAAUAUAUGCCACGUGUGUGUGUCUCAUAUGAGACACAUGUUAGUUUCUUUCGAAAUGUUUAACGGGAAAAGUUUUAAAAAAGUGUUGCUAAACGUGCCGUAUGCGUCUAUGUAAAAAUGCAUAGGAAACAAACCAAGUUUUUGGCUGACCUAUUUGCCUGCAUUACAUUUUAUUUAGGCUAAUAAGUGUGACAAUGUAUCUGAUUUAUGUAGGACAUUUCGCUUGAACGUUUAGCCUGUAUUCGUUGCUUUUGUACUUUUUGUGACAUCUUGUUUAUGUUGCGUUAAAAGCCACAGAAAUAGGUUGCACUUCUUUUAUGCACACCAUCUAACCUUGAUCAACUAUCGACGUUCUAUUCUUUUCGUUAACUAAAGUGCAAGGUGAAUUGACAUUCAUUUAAACCCAAGUUCAUGUAAACUCAGUCGAUAUGUACUCAACAUGAUCCGACCUUGAUCUUUAGUUCAUCCUGCGUAACUUUUUGUACAUGAUCAGCACAAGUUUGCCAAAAUAUCUAUAGGCAAUUAGCAUAACUUUC